rnacentral:rRNA from 1 species
AUUGAACGCUGGCGGCAGGCCUAACACAUGCAAGUCGAGCGAGCGGCGGACGGGUGAGUAAAGUAUGGGGAUCUGCCCGAUAGAGGGGGAUAACUACUGGAAACGGUGGCUAAUACAGCAUACUCGAGUAUGAACCGUUAUGGGAUUAGCUAGUAGGGGGGGUAAAGGCUGACCUAGGCGACGAUCUCUAGCUGGUCUGAGAGGAUGAACAGCCACACUGGGACUGAGACACGGCCCAGACUCCUACGGGAGGCAGCAGUGGGGAAUAUUGCACAAUGGGCGCAAGCCUGAUGCAGCCAUGCCGCGUGUAUGAAGAAGGCCUUAUGGUUGUAAAGUACUUUCAGCGGGGAGGCGUUACCCGCAGAAGAAGCACCGGCUAACUCCGUGCCAGCAGCCGCGGUAAUUC